rnacentral:piRNA from 1 species
UGCUUUUAGUGUUCACUGUAUCCAGGGUCU